AACUGGGAGGCAGGAGCUGAUGCAGAGUCCAUGGAGGGUGCUGCUUAUUGCAUUGCUUCCCUUGGCUUGCUCAGCUUGCUUUCUCAUAGAACCCAGGACCACCAGCCCAGGGAUGGCACCACCCACGAUGGGCCCUCCUACCCUUGACCAUUAAUUGAGAAAAUGCCUUACAGCUGUAUCUCAUGGAGGCAUUUCCUCAAGGGAGGCUCCUUUCUCUGUGAUAACUCCAGCUUGUGUCAAGGUCACACACAAAACCAGCCAGUACACUUGCCUACAAAUAAAAGAGAAGGGUGUGUCCUGACAAGCGGCAGGGACCUGGUGAUGCCACCCCAGUGGGCUCCCAGCAGCUAGAAAUCAGACACAGUGUCUCCCUGUCAGCUUCAAAGGACUUGUGACCCUCUUGACUUCAGCCCAGUGAAGAUGAUUUAGAUUCCUGGCCUCUUUGCCUGUAUAAAAAUAAAUCUGUGCUUUUUGAGUCACCGAGUUUAUGGUAAUUCAUUACAGCAAAUACCAGGCACUCACAUUAAAAGAAGAAAAAGAGCAGCGGGUGGCUUUGAAAGCCAUCUGCAGUGAAGGAUCCCUUAGCAAAGCUGUCCCUCAACACCUCCAUGCCAGUGCUUCUUCACAUUAAGACUCCAAGAAUGACCGUUUCCCGCGGGAAAGAGAGCAGCCGAACGCCAAACAUCAGCACAAACAGAAGGUGUUGGAGAGACUCCUUAGGAUCCGGAGACGGGCGGUGAAAUAUCUAAGAGGGCCUCUGAGGUAGCUGGUUAAAAUGCAGCCGCUGCACAGCCAAAGCCGGAACUGUCAGGGAACUGAAGCCCCCUGGCCCUGAACCAAAUCCCGGCACAGGAAAGCCAGGCUGUUUCUUACAGGAAACCCCAUCCAGCGAAUGCCCACUGCUGCCAGUGCCUGUGCGCACCCCGGAGACGCAUCAGACAACCAGCAAAACCAGGCCCAUUGGACUUCACAGAUCUCUCCUGGUGCAGCCGGUUCGGAACCUUGUGGAGUUGGCUGCCUGCCCGGUGCGGAUGGAUCACUUGGGUCUGGGUCUGGGGUCUGGGGUCUGGGGUCUGGGUCUGUCUGGGUCUGGGUUGGUUGGUUGCCUCCACACUUGGACAUUUCUGGUGCAGGAGUUCAUGAGCUCACAGGUACAGUCCCUGAAAACUACAUUGCCAAGGGUUAUAACAGAUCAGAAAACGUAAUUUCCCGCCCCCCCCCCCCGUUCCCACCCCCUACUCCCCUAUGCCCUACAGGCCAGGCCGAGGCAGAGGCAGGCUCACAACCACCUGGAACUCUAGUUCCAAAGGACCUGACACUUUCUUCUGGGUUCCAGGGCUCCUGCAUCCAUUCAGUCUA
rnacentral:lncRNA from 1 species